GAACACAUCGGAAUCUACUCUGUCGUGGGGGAUAACGUAGGGAAACUUACGCUAAUACCGCAUACGACCUACGGGUGAAAGCAGGGGACCUUCGGGCCUUGCGCGAUUGAAUGAGCCGAUGUCGGAUUAGCUAGUUGGCGGGGUAAAGGCCCACCAAGGCGACGAUCCGUAGCUGGUCUGAGAGGAUGAUCAGCCACACUGGAACUGAGACACGGUCCAGACUCCUACGGGAGGCAGCAGUGGGGAAUAUUGGACAAUGGGCGCAAGCCUGAUCCAGCCAUACCGCGUGGGUGAAGAAGGCCUUCGGGUUGUAAAGCCCUUUUGUUGGGAAAGAAAUCCAGCUGGCUAAUACCCGGUUG
rnacentral:rRNA from 1 species